rnacentral:rRNA from 1 species
UACGUAGGGCGCAGGCGUUGUCCGGAAUUAUUGGGCGUAAAGAGCUCGUAGGCGGCUUGUCACGUCGGGUGUGAAAGCCCGGGGCUUAACCCCGGGUCUGCAUUCGAUACGGGCUGGCUGGAGUGUGGUAGGGGAGAUCGGAAUUCCUGGUGUAGCGGUGAAAUGCGCAGAUAUCAGGAGGAACACCGGUGGCGAAGGCGGGUCUCUGGGCCGAUACUGACGCUGAGGAGCGAAAGCGUGGGGAGCGAACAGG